GCCAGGCGUGGUGGCGCGUGCCUGUAAUCCCAGCUACUCAGGAGGCUGAGGCAGGAGAAUCACUUGAACCCGGGAGGUGGAGCUGCAGUGAGCCGAGAUCGCGCCACUGCACUCCAGCCUGGGCAACAAAGUGAGAUUCUGUCUCAA
rfam:Homo sapiens chromosome 17, GRCh38 reference primary assembly.